rnacentral:rRNA from 1 species
CAAUAGCGUAUAUUUAAGUUGUUGCAGUUAAAAAGCUCGUAGUCGGAUUUUGGCUGAGAACGAUCGGUCCGCCGUUAGGUGUGCACUGAUUGGUCUCAGCUUCCUGGUGAGGAGGUGUGCUUCACGGCCACUUAGUCACCGUGGUUACUUUGAAAAAAUUAGAGUGUUCAAAGCGGGCUUACGCUUGAAUAUAUUAGCAUGGAAUAACACCAUAGGACUCCUGUCCUAUUUCGUUGGUCACGGGACGGGAGUAAUGAUUAAGAGGAACAGUUGGGGGCAUUCGUAUUUCAUUGUCAGAGGUGAAAUUCUUGGAUUUAUGAAAGACGAACUUCUGCGAAAGCAUCUGCCAAGGAUGUUUUCAUUGA